rnacentral:rRNA from 1 species
UGGGGAAUAUUGCACAAUGGGCGAAAGCCUGAUGCAGCAACGCCGCGUGCGGGAUGACGGCCUUCGGGUUGUAAACCGCUUUCAGCAGGGACGAAGGUUUUCUGACGGUACCUGCAGAAGAAGCACCGGCUAACUACGUGCCAGCAGCCGCGGUGAUACGUAGGGUGCGAGCGUUGUCCGGAAUUAUUGGGCGUAAAGAGCUUGUAGGCGGUCCGUUGCGUCGGAAGUGAAAACUCGGGGCUUAACCCUGAGCCUGCUUUCGAUACGGGCGGACUUGAGGGAUGUAGGGGAGAACGGAAUUCCUGGUGGAGCGGUGGAAUGCGCAGAUAUCAGGAGGAACACCAGUGGCGAAGGCGGUUCUCUGGACAUUUCCUGACGCUGAGAAGCGAAAGCGUGGGGAGCAAACAGGCUUAGAUACCCUGGUAGUCCACGCCGUAAACGGUGGGCACUAGGUGUGGGACCCAUUCCACGGGUUCCGUGCCGUAGCUAACGCAUUAAGUGCCCCGCCUGGGGAGUACGGCCGCAAGGCUAAAACUCAAAGGAAUUGACGGGGUCAUAGCUGUUU